AUUGAACGCUGGCGGCAGGCCUAACACAUGCAAGUCGAGCGGAGCGGCGGACGGGUGAGUAAUGCCUAGGAAUCUGCCUGGUAGUGGGGGAUAACGUCCGGAAACGGGCGCUAAUACCGCAUACUACCAGUUUAGCCUGGGGGGGUUUGGUAGUUGGUUGGGGUAAAGGCUUACCAAGGCGACGAUCCGUAACUGGCCUGAGAGGAUGAUCAGUCACACUGGAACUGAGACACGGUCCAGACUCCUACGGGAGGCAGCAGUGGGGAAUAUUGGACAAUGGGCGAAAGCCUGAUCCAGCCAUGCCGCGUGUGUGAAGAAGGUCUUCGGAUUGUAAAGCACUUUAAGUUGGGAGGCGUUACCAACAGAAUAAGCACCGGCUAACUUCGUGCCAGCAGCCGCGGUAAUAC
rnacentral:rRNA from 1 species